CGAAACACCAUUCGGCGAACUCCUCCGUACCGCCAAAACCAGGGACAAAGCAGAAAACCCAGGGUCGUCUCUUGGAAUCGGUUCCCAGGCUGCAGUACAGGCUUUAUAAGAGGUCAUUUUGUGCUGUGCCAGAAGGUGCUCUGCAAGUCCACUAUUAUGCUGUCCUUCGCAGCUUUAAUCUGCAUAGUACAGAAAUUGGUUUCAAAUCCUGACCCACAAAGAGGAGUGGACUGUGGAUGUAAUAUUCUGCUUUCAAGCGGGG